AGCAUAGCAACAGCAGCGUAGCUGAACAUCUUACGGAUGGCCCAGGGCUCCAAAGGCUCGUUUCCUAAGUGAGAGAGAGCCUGGCUGAAGCUGUAUUACCAUUCAUUCUCCAGCCUCCGAAGUCUCAAAGCAUCACUUCCACCAUACUCUAACUGUCAAGACAAACACAAAGGCCCAGAAAGAAGAAUACACUAUCGAUGUUCCUUUUAAACAAGUAUUUGAGUAAAAGCGAUGUUUCCAAUGUGUGUCAGAAAGUGAAUACUUGUAUAUUUCCGCAUGGUUAGAGCUGAGCUUUCCGAGCAAAUUUUACUGGGACCCGGUUGAAAGACAGGUCUUGGAAGUGAAAUGAUGACUGACUAGAUGACAUUACAUGUAAAUGGAAUCAUACAAUAUGUGAUCUUUUGUGACUGGCUUCUUUCACUUAGCAUAAUGUUUUCAAGGUUUGUUCGUGUUGUAGCAGAAACUGCCAGACUGUCUUCCGAAGUGGCUAUAAUAUUUACACUCACAUCAGCAGUGUCUGAGUUUGCAGAGUAAACCACUACCCUGAAAUCUGGAAAGGCAGGUGCACCCAUAGAUCCUCAGCUGAGAUCCAAUUACCUGAAAUAGAAGCUGCCAUUAGGAACACUUAAAAGAGCCUGUUCUGCUGGGACACAGAAUCACUUGCUCCAUCUCAUACAUUGAUGAUGAUUAAUUUGUAUGUGUACCUUCCAAAAAA
rnacentral:lncRNA from 1 species